GGUAAUAUGGCCGAGGAAAGGCAGUGAGCUGUAAAUUCACGCACAGGAGUUGUACCCUUAUUACCAG
rnacentral:tRNA from 1 species